ensembl:lncRNA
UAAAGCCCAGGAACUGUUGCAGCUCACAGUGAAACUCACUUUUCACCAGGAAGUGCUGCAGGAGUGCUGGAUGUGCUGUAUGGUCGCAGAAAUUAAAAUGGUGUCAAGGGAGACAAACACAAACUUAUUAAGCAUGUGUCUCGGGACACCAUUAAAUCAGGCAUUGGAACACAGCUGGAUUGUCAGUAAGGCCAAAAGGCAUGACCAGGUAUUCGCAAUGGCCAGAGGGCGUGUUGAAGACCGUCUUCCACUCGUCCCCUCUGUUGUGCGGACUAGAUGGUAGGUAUUGCGGAUAUUCGAGGUUGGCAAAGAACUUUAGUUGUAGCUCAAAGGUGUCUGAGGACAUCCGAGGAAGAGGGUAUCAAUUAUUUACCGUGAUGUUGCUAAGACCCCUAUAGUCAAUACAGGGGCAGAGGGAACCAUCCUUCUUAGUCACAAAGAAAAACCCGGAGAAGAGAAGGGGUGAGUGAUACCUGCAGCCAGGGACUCCUGAAUGUAUUCAUUCCUUGCCUCAGUUUCAGGAGGAGACAGGGAGAAGAGACAACUUCAUGGGGGUGAUGUGCCAGGCAUAUGAUCUAUGGCACAGUCAUAGGUGUGAUAUGGAGGCAGGGAGGUAGCCCAGGACUCGCUGAACACUGCCUUGUGAUCCGAGUAGUCAGUGAGCAAGACAGUAAGGUAGUGAGCAAGACAGUAAGGUAGUGAGGAAGACAGUAAGGUAGUGAGGUAGUGAGCAAGACAGUAAGGUAGUGAGGUAGUGAGCAAGACAGUAAGGUAGUGAGUAAGGCAGUAAGGUAGUGAGCAAGACAGUAAGGUAGUGAGUGAGACAACAUAGACUCUAACCUCAAAUGUUGUUACUAACCCAAUCUAGGUGCGGAUUGUGCUUAACCAGCCAGAACAAUCGGGGCUUGGGGGGAAUGUAGCAGAUGAAACACUGUGGUCUCCUGGUGGUUUCCAGAAAUAAGUAGACUCACCGUUGGAGAGAUAUGUGUGGUGUGGGCAAGCUUCACUCCAGUUAAAGCAUUAGCCUCCAGGGUGUUCUGCAGCAUGGUUGGGGAAGGAUGCAGUUAGGAGUCAACGAGAAUGGACACAAUGUAUGAUGGUGAUUGUCUGUGAGGAGAGUAGCAGGAAAAAGGGUGCGAAUCAUAGGGGAA